rnacentral:rRNA from 1 species
AUUGAACGCUGGCGGCAGGCUUAACACAUGCAAGUCGAGCGGGGUGAUGGUGCUUGCACUAUCACUUAGCGGCGGACGGGUGAGUAAUGCUUAGGAAUCUGCCUAUUAGUGGGGGACAACAUCUCGAAAGGGAUGCUAAUACCGCAUACGUCCUACGGGAGAAAGCAGGGGAUCACUUGUGACCUUGCGCUAAUAGAUUAGCCUAGGUCGGAUUAGCUAGUUGGUGGGGUAAAGGCCUACCAAGGCGACGAUCUGUAGCGGGUCUGAGAGGAUGAUCCGCCACACUGGGACUGAGACACGGCCCAGACUCCUACGGGAGGCAGCAGUGGGGAAUAUUGGACAAUGGGGGGAACCCUGAUCCAGCCAUGCCGCGUGUGUGAAGAAGGCCUUAUGGUUGUAAAGCACUUUAAGCGAGGAGGAGGCUCUUUUGGUUAAUACCCAAGAUGAGUGGACGUUACUCGCAGAAUAAGCACCGGCUAACUCUGUGCCAGCCGCCGCAGUAA